AGCUGGAGGAAAACUGAGUUUGGGAUUGCCGAUGAAAGUUUGUCGGAUUCGAUUGCCAAUAAAGUAAUUUCCUGGUUAAAAACACAACUCAUUGGUUGUCCCACACCAACGCCAUCAACGAGCUCAUAUUUGAAUUCUCAAUUAUCGAAAAACAUCUUCUCGAAGAAAGCUUAAAGGGCAAAGCGGCAAAGCAAUUUUAAAAGGUCAAUAACC